AGACCCGAAACCCGGUGAUCUAGCCAUGGGCAGGUUGAAGGUUGGGUAACACUAACUGGAGGACCGAACCGACUAAUGUUGAAAAAUUAGCGGAUGACCUGUGGCUGGGGGUGAAAGGCCAAUCAAACCGGGAGAUAGCUGGUUCUCCCCGAAAGCUAUUUAGGUAGCGCCUCGUGAAUUCAUCUCCGGGGGUAGAGCACUGUUUCGGCUAGGGGGCCAUCCCGGCUUACCAACCCGAUGCAAACUGCGAAUACCGGAGAAUGUUAUCACGGGAGACACACGGCGGGUGCUAACGUCCGUCGUGAAGAGGGAAACAACCCAGACCGCCAGCUAAGGUCCCAAAGUCAUGGUUAAGUGGGAAACGAUGUGGGAAGGCCCAGACAGCCAGGAUGUUGGCUUAGAAGCAGCCAUCAUUUAAAGAAAGCGUAAUAGCUCACUGGUCGAGUCGGCCUGCGCGGAAGAUGUAACGGGGCUAAACCAUGCACCGAAGCUGCGGCAGCGACGCUGAUGCGUUGUUGGGUAGGGGAGCGUUCUGUAAGCCUGUGAAGGUGGCCUGUGAGGGUUGCUGGAGGUAUCAGAAGUGCGAAUGCUGACAUAAGUAACGAUAAAGCGGGUGAAAAGCCCGCUCGCCGGAAGACCAAGGGUUCCUGUCCAACGUUAAUCGGGGCAGGGUGAGUCGACCCCUAAGGCGAGGCCGAAAGGCGUAGUCGAUGGGAAACGGGUUAAUAUUCCCGUACUUGGUGUUACUGCGAAGGGGGGACGGAGAAGGCUAUGUUGGCCGGGCGACGGUUGUCCCGGUUUAAGCGUGUAGGUGUGUGUUCCAGGUAAAUCCGGUUCACUUUAACACUGAGGCGUGAUGACGAGGCACUACGGUGCUGAAGCAACAAAUGCCCUGCUUCCAGGAAAAGCCUCUAAGCAUCAGGUAACAUCAAAUCGUACCCCAAACCGACACAGGUGGUCAGGUAGAGAAUACCAAGGCGCUUGAGAGAACUCGGGUGAAGGAACUAGGCAAAAUGGUGCCGUAACUUCGGGAGAAGGCACGCUGACACGUAGGUGAAGUGAUUUACUCAUGGAGCUGAAGUCAGUCGAAGAUACCAGCUGGCUGCAACUGUUUAUUAAAAACACAGCACUGUGCAAACACGAAAGUGGACGUAUACGGUGUGACGCCUGCCCGGUGCCGGAAGGUUAAUUGAUGGGGUCAGCGCAAGCGAAGCUCCUGAUCGAAGCCCCGGUAAACGGCGGCCGUAACUAUAACGGUCCUAAGGUAGCGAAAUUCCUUGUCGGGUAAGUUCCGACCUGCACGAAUGGCGUAAUGAUGGCCAGGCUGUCUCCACCCGAGACUCAGUGAAAUUGAACUCGCUGUGAAGAUGCAGUGUACCCGCGGCAAGACGGAAAGACCCCGUGAACCUUUACUAUAGCUUGACACUGAACAUUGAGCCUUGAUGUGUAGGAUAGGUGGGAGGCUUUGAAGUGUGGACGCCAGUCUGCAUGGAGCCG
rnacentral:rRNA from 2 species